rnacentral:tRNA from 1 species
GUCCCCAUCGUCUAGGGGCCUAGGACACCGGCCUUUCACGCCGGUAACGGGGGUUCGAAUCCCCCUGGGGACG